AAGAUCAGAAACUCAUAAGACAGCAUUAAAAAGUACUAUACAGGAGGAGAUGGAAUAAGAUGGCCAAAUAGAAGCCUCUGGCAAUCAUCUCCCCCAAAGGAAUUGAACAACUAUCGAAACAAAAUUGAACAACUCUCUAAACAAAAAAAGUACCUUCAUAAAAAACAAAAAUCAGGGACCUUUUCAAAGAUAUUCAGUAGACAGCCUGUAUUUUCUACAUAUGCUACACCUGGUCCUCAAGUUAGAGACAGCCCAAACUGAAUGGGAUCUUGGAGGUCAGCCAAAGACAGAGGCUCUCUUGAAGAUGACUCCUGGGACUCCAGAAAUGGAGGAGUCAUUAAAUGAGAAAGCACUUCCUCCUCUGGAUACUGUGUAAUCUUUCUCAGGACCACACAAUGUGCCUUUAUGUGUGAUGAUAGUGGACAGAUGUGAUUUUUCCAAUGGAUUUUAUUUUGCUUGCUUAUUUAUGUAUUGCUCAGACUUCAGUCUUUAGUCUGAAACAAAAUAAGUUAGAACGUUCAUUGCUUGUAAUUUAUAAUGAGGAAGUACUGAUCUGCUUUCUGAGACUGCAUAUUAGUUUUCAUGUCACAGAUGUUUAUAUGAAUGACAUCAUGUAGUACAUACUCUUUUCCUUCUGGCUUCUUUCACUCAGCAUAAACAUUUAAGAUUCAUCUGUGUUGCAACAUAUGAAGGAGGGUCUUUUCAUAUUAAAUUGUUUUCCUGGCAGCACCUGAACCAAAGGAUAAGACUUCAAAUAAGUCUUUUUCCAAUGUUAUGCUGAAACUGGAUUCAACAUUUCUCAUAAAACUUCUAAGUCAAACAGUGAUGAGAAACUACUGCCUAAAAGUUGAUAUUAUGGAUUCCCAUAAGGAUUCAUGUCUCCUAUUCACUUUAAUGAACAGUUGUUGGGCAACAAUUCUAGAAGAGUUCCAACUCUCAUCAGGAGUAUGGACAAGGUGGAGAAGCAGAGAAAAUGCAAUGAGUAGAAUGUCUAAGUCAUCACUUUGGAAUUGACUGAACAUAAAUAAAAAUGAGAAAGAUACGUAAAAAAGAAGGGAAUGGUUGCCACAGCCCCCAUUUUGCAAACGAGGCAGCUGAGGUUCCCAGAGGCUCAAUACCAGCACCAUGGGCCGAAGCACGCAGGGCAAACACAGCCGGAGCCACCACAGCGGCCUCGAGUACGCCGACCCCGAGAAGUUCGCGGACUCGGGCCAGGACCGGGAUCCCCACCGGCUCAACUCGCAUCUCAAGCUGGGCUUCGAGGAUGUGAUCGCAGAGCCGGUGACUACGCACUCCUUUGACAAAGUGUGGAUCUGCAGCCAUGCCCUCUUUGAAAUCAGCAAAUACGUAAUGUACAAGUUCCUGACGGUGUUCCUGGCCAUUCCCCUGGCCUUCAUUGCGGGAAUUCUCUUUGCCACCCUCAGCUGUCUGCACAUCUGGAUUUUAAUGCCUUUUGUAAAGACCUGCCUAAUGGUUCUGCCUUCAGUGCAGACAAUAUGGAAGAGUGUGACAGAUGUUAUCAUUGCUCCAUUGUGUACGAGCGUAGGACGAAGCUUCUCUUC
rnacentral:sRNA from 1 species